rnacentral:rRNA from 1 species
GGCGAACGCUGGCGGCGUGCUUAACACAUGCAAGUCGUACGGUAAGGCCCUUUCGGGGGUACACGAGUGGCGAACGGGUGAGUAACACGUGAGUAACCUGCCCACAACUUUGGGAUAACGCUAGGAAACUGGUGCUAAUACUGGAUAUGUGCUCCUGCUGCAUGGUGGGGGUUGGAAAGCUCCGGCGGUUGUGGAUGGACUCGCGGCCUAUCAGCUUGUUGGUGGGGUAGUGGCCUACCAAGGCGGCGACGGGUAGCCGGCCUGAGAGGGUGACCGGCCACAUUGGGACUGAGAUACGGCCCAGACUCCUACGGGAGGCAGCAGGGGGGAAUAUUGCACAAUGGGCGCAAGCCUGAUGCAGCAACGCCGCGUGCGGGAUGACGGCCUUCGGGUUGUAAACCGCUUUCAGCAGGGACGAAGCUUUUUGUGACGGUACCUGCAGAAGAAGCACCGGCUAACUACGUG